CCGAAACCCGAAUAGACCCGAACCGAACCCGAAUGGGUACCCGAACGCCCACCCCUAAAAAAUAAUGAUGAAGAUUAUCCCUUCGAACUUUAUCGACCGCGUGGCGAAGAAGCAACUAUUACGGCGAAUUAAAGUCAUAGGCAGCAGAGAUCGACACUUGUCAAAGAAUCAUGGGCUCAUCUCGAUCAAGACAAGCACUCCAAGCAAGAAUUAAGGCAGAGGUAAUCACACUUUUUUAUGUUGGCCCUCCACUCAAAAUGGUGGGGAACAAUUGCUGGGGCCAAUAACUGGUACGGCCCGAAUAUGCCCAUCACCGAGAUGGAACGACGAGUGCGACUUGGUCAAGACCAGGAGAGCCGAGAUUGGCGGAAGGAGUUGAGAUGAUCUUGGAGGAGAGCGACUAUAAAGGAAGAAACGAAGGAAGAGGGAAGGGACAUUCGAAACCCUAGACACUACACAUUACACGCUCGACCUCCUCGACCUCUGACUCUCAAUACUAUUGUCUUAGUUCUUCUUAGUCAUUAUCAUUUCAUUUAUCAUAACCUUUGUAUUUCAAUCAAUAAAGAACAGUUUUGUCGACCAUCAUCUAAUUAAAUUGUUGUGUUCUAAAGAUAUAGUUGCCAACAUUAUUUUCUUCCGUCAUCUUUUACAAACAACCACUAUCAAUACCUAGUGUGGAUAUUAGGAUCCAGGUUAACCAUUAAUUGUAACAUGUCUUGAGUAGUCCAUAAAGGGGAUACUGAAUUUGAGAAUUGUAUGUGUAUUCUAGGUCUGGGCAUAAACCCAAAACCAAAACCCGAACCCGACCCAAAAUAAAGGUAUCGGAUCAAGCAAAUAAGCCGGAUUUCAUAUUGUGAUAUUUUGGAUACGGGUUCAUUUCGGUUUUACAUGAUAACUGAAACAUAAUCUGAACUAAACCAAACACAUAUACAAGUUAUACAAAUUUUUAUUAUUUUGGAUUAUAAUGAUCAUUAUUAAGUAUUUUAUUGUUAUAAACUUUCGAAUGUUACUAUUUGGUCGAAUAUUAUAUGUGUUGAAUACUUUUUUAUUCAGUUUAAGUAUUAAAUUUCUUAUGUUUAGAAUUUUAGUUAUGUAUUUUACUUCAGCAUAACUCAAAUCAAACCAAAAUUAUCCGAACGCGAACGAUAUGGUUACUUUAUGGGUUUUAGGAUGUGAUACAAAUUAGAAUGAGAAUAGAUGUUCUAUAUUCAAAUGCGCCCCUUAUUUGUAAAUUUACUAGAAUGGAGUUUAUGAUGUAUUACAAAUUAUAAUCGAAAUCCGAAUACUCAAUUUGAACCCGAACGGCUACCCAAACGUUCAUACCUAGUGUAUUUAUUGGAUUUAGUUGCAUUUAUUAUCAUUGAUUCACAUCCGUUUUAGUUAUUUGAACAAUAUUUUCUAUCUUCAGUUUUUAUUUUAUAAAAAAAGUUUAAAUUCUCUUUUUCUAUAUUUUCCACACUGUCCAAAAAGUUACUUUUGAGUUUUGAACAACUUUAUAAGUGAAUAAUAAUAAAAUUUGAUUUCAGUUUCUGUUUUAUAAAGUUAACGGAUAUCAAAAAACUUAAAACAGCUUGUCAUAAUAGAUCAACUUCAAUGAAUAAAGUUCUAAAGUGGGUUAUGUAAUCUAAAUAAUACUAAUACAGUAUAACCUCUUUAAAUUAAUGCACCAUAAGUUAAUAUACACUAAAAAUCUUCAUAAAAUAAUAUAAUUUUAUAGUCACAAAUUGAGUUUUUGGUUCAAUUAGUAUAUCGAUAAAUUAAUAUCUUUAUAAAUUAAUAAAAAAAUUUAUAGUUUUGGUGUAGUCCCAACAUUAUUAAUUUAUAGAGGUUUUACCGUAGUUUAUAAACUUUUAUUAUUUAGUUAACUUUUAAAUAUUUUAAGAAUAUUGAAAUAGUCAUAAAUUGACAAAUGUAAUGGGAAUUUCUCAUGAGAAUCUCUAUGAGCAUUAAUUAAUAACGAUGACUUCUCAACAAGUAUCUGACAAAUAAAAAGUAAGAAAAAAAAAAUUUAAGUUUCGUAUAAUAAAAUCAGUUACAAUGGUUGCAAUUGAGAGAUUGAAAAGAAGAAAAAAGUAACAUAAAGUAUUUAGUGUGAAUUUAUUCAACUAGUUAAAACAAAAAAAAAGUUCGACGUUACAAAGUAUUAUUUGAUUAUUUAUAUUUAAAAUAGUCGACGUUUGUUUCUGCUUCAUUCCUUCUGCUAUUGAAUCUUUGAUUUUGGAGGAUUAGAUUCAUGAUUUAAGGUUAGCUUAACAAUUUUAUAGGUUAUAGGACAAAAACAAUAAUUUGAAACUUUAAAAUGUAUAUUUUAAAAAACAUUAAAAUGUAUAUUUUGUUAACAUUUUUUAAUUAAAUUUAUGUUUUUUUUUUAAAUUAUGAAUAGUAUUUUUAUUAUUUUAAAGAAAAUAAGAUACAUAUAAAAUAUUUUAUAAACUUUCUUAGCACAUUCAAUAAUAGCAUGUUAGCCAAACGUCAAUUGACCUAAUACUAUAAAAAAGCAAAAAGGAUAAUCGAUUCAAACUGUCACAAAAAAUGGAACCAAACUUUAUCAGUAUCGAAAUAUGAGUUCCGCUUACCUGUGUUAACCAUGCCGGAGGAGGAACUAGAAUACAGGGACACAUCAUUCUGAUUAACCUAAAAAAACUGGCAGUUGUCAAUGCUCCAUAGAGGAAGAAUCUAUUUCUAAGUAUUAUCCUAUUGUUUAUAUUUUUCCUUUUUGAAAUUCAGAUGCUUAAGUAGGUGAGCAAGGAGGUGUUGUUCCACCCGGUGUUCAAGCACCUCAAUACCCUCAAGCCUAUGGUUUUCAAGCCCCUCAGGCCUCCGAUUUUCAAGCUCCGCAAGCCCCACAAGCCCCUGUUUUCAAGCCCCUCAAGCCCCAGGUUUUCAAUCCCCCCAAGCCCCCGGUUUUCAACCCCUCAAUCCCCCGAUUUUCAAGCCCCUCAAGCCCCCUGUUUUCAAGCCCCUCAACUCAAGCCCCUCAAACCCUCACUGUUCCACUCACAUUUGUUCCCUUUGUUCCUAUUAUUGGUUAUGUUCCUCCGUUUCCUGAUUUGAUGGUUUCUAAUUUCAUUCUUCCUCCAAUCGCUCAUCCUAAUCGUAUUCCUAAUCAUGUUCUUAUACAACGGACCGUCGAAGACAGCUUUCACAUGUUUUCUCUUGCAGAUGCAUAUCGUAACUUUUGUUCUCAUUUGUUCUAACCAUAACUAUUAUCUUGUUCUUAUUUGUUCGACCAAAGGAAUCCUAAAUCCUCUUCCGAUAAUUUUAAAUUUUCAGAAUAUGUUCAUUUGCAUGAUCUGAACUAGCACUUAUAUAACACUGUGGCACUCUACAUACUGAAACGCCCAUUGUUUGUCACUUUUCAAGUAAUGAAUGAAGAAGCACCCACCAGUGGUAUAUGAAUAGUAAUUUUAUAAUUUAAAAUACAUAUAAAAUCUUUUAUAAACUAUCUUAGCCCAUUCAAUCUUAGGCCUGUUAGCCUAAGAUCAAAUGACAUAAUACUAUAAAAAGGCAAAAGGGGUAAUCGAUUCAAGCCGUCACCAAAAUUAAUCCAAACUUUAUCAGUAUCGAUAUACGAGUUCCCCUCACCUGUGUUCAACAUGCCGGAGGAGGAGCUAGAAUACAAAGACACAACAUUCUGAUUAACUUAAGAGAACUGGCCUUUGUCAAUGCUCCGUAGAAUGCUCAAGUAGGUGAGCAAGGAGGUGUUGUUCCACCCAAUAUUCAACCCCCACGGUGUUCAAGCACCUCAAGCCUCCGAAUUUCAAGCCCCUCAAGCUCACGGUUUUCAAACUCCUCAAGCCCCUCAAAUCCCCGGUUUUCAAGCCUCUCAAGCCUCCGAAUUUCAAGACCCUCAAGCCCACGGUUUUCAAACUUCUCAAUCCCCUCAAGACCCCGAUUUUCAAGCCCCUCAAGCCCCAGGUUUAUAGCUCCUCAAGACCCUCAAGCCCCCGGUUUUCAAGCCCCUCAAGCCUCUCAAGCCCCGUGAUCCCCUCAAGCCCUCAAGGUCCCAGUGUUCAUGCCCCUCAAGCCCCCCGGUGUUCCACCUGUUGUUCCAUCCGCCUUUGUUCCCUUUGUUCCAGUUGUUGGUUAUGUUCCUCCGUUUCCUGGUAAUUUUCUGUUCUCAACAAUUCCUCAUCCAUCCAUCUUUGUUUAUUUUUUUUUCUUUCUAAUCCCCAAAUCUGCUGGUUCCUAAUUUCAUUCUUCCUCCAAUCGCUCAUCCAAAUUGUAUUCCUAAUAAAGAUUUCUUUCAUAAAUGAUAAAAUAAACUUUAUUUUUUCUUGUUCUUAUUUAUUCUAAUCAUUUGUGCAUAUCACGUUCUUAUACAACGGACCUUCGAAGACAACUUUCACCAGUUUUCUCUUGCAGAUGCAUAUCACAAGUUUUGUUCUUAUUUGUUCUAUCCAUAUGUAUUAUCUUGUUCUUAGUUGUUUGAGGAAAGGAAUCCUAAAUCCUCUUCCAUUAAUUAUAAUUUUUCAGAAUAUGUUAAUUUGUAUGCUUUGAACCAGCGGCUGUCCAAAACCAUGACACUCUAUAUACUGAAACGCCCAGUAUUUGUCAUUUUCAAGUAAUGAAUGAAGGAGCCCCCACUAGUAGUAUACGUUAAAAAAAAACUUUGAAAUGUAUAUUUAUUUAAUUUUUUUAUUAAUUUUAUGUUUUUUUGAAAAUUUUGAAUAGUAUUUUUAUAAUUUUAAAGAAAAUAAAAUACAUAUAAAAUAUUUUAUAAACUCUCUUAGCCCAUUCAAUUUUAGGCCCUUUAGCCCAAUGUCAAAUGACCUAAUCCUAUAAAAAGGCAAAAAGGAUGAUCGAUUCAAACCGUCACCAAAAAUGGAAUUUAACUUUAUCAGUAUCGAAAUACGAGUUUCACUUACUUGUGUUAACCAUGCGGAGGAGGAGCUAAAAUACAGGGACACAACAUUCUGAUUAACCUAAGAGAACUGGCCAUUAUCAAUGCUCCAUAGAAUGCUCACGUAGGUGCCCAAGGAGGUGUUGUUCCACCCGGGGGGGGGGGGUUCAACCCCUGGUGUCCAAGCAGCUCAAGCCCCUCAAGCCCCCAGUUUUCAAUCCACUCAAGCCCUUCAAGCCCCCGGUGUUCAAGCUCCUCAAGCCCCCAAUGAUCAAUCCCUUCAAGUUCCCGGUGUUCCACCUGUUGUUCCACCUGCCUUUUUUCCCUUUGUUCCUAUUGUUGUUUACUUUCCUCCGUUUCCUGAUCACGUUCUUAUACAACGGACCGCCGAAGACAGCUUUCACCAGUUUUCUCUUGCAGAUGCAGAUCAUAAGUUUUGUUCUUAUUUGUUCUAUCCACAUGUAUUAUCUUGUUCUUAUUAGUCCGAGGAAAGGAAUCCUAAAUCCUCUUCCAUUAAUUUUUUUUCUUUUUCAAAAUAUGUUCAUUUGUAUACUCUAAACCAACGCAUGUCCAACACCAUAGUACUCUACAUACUACAUACAGAAACGCCCAGCGUUUGUCACUCUUCAACGUUUGUCAAGUAAUGAAUAAAGGAGCUCCCACCAGGGGUAUAUGCUAAAAAAACUUUGAAAUGUAUAUUUUAUUAAAUAUAUGUUUUUAAAAAAAAUUAUGAAUAGUAUUUUUAUAAUUUUAAAGAAAAUAAAAUACAUAUGAAAUAUUUUAUGAAUUCUCUCAUCCCAUUCAAUCUUAGGCCAGUUAGCCCAGUGUCAAAUGACCUAAUAUUGUAAAGGAAAAAGAGGUAAACGAUUCAAGCCGUCACCAAAAACGGAUCCAAAAUUUAUUAGUAUCGAAAUGCGAGUUCCGCUCACCUAUGUUCAACUUGCCGGAGGAGGAGAUAGAAUACAGGGACACUGCAUCCUGAUUAACCUCAGAGAAUUGGACUUUGUCAAUGCCCCAUAGAAUGCUUAAGUAGGUGAGCAAGGAGGUGUUGUUCCAUCCGGUGUUCAAGUCCUCGGUAUUCAAGCCCCUCAAGCCUCCGGUUUUCAAGCCCCUCAAGCCCCCGAUUUUCAAACUUCUCAAUCCCCUGGUUUUACCCCCGGUUUUCAAUCCCCACAAGGCCCCGGUUUUCAAGUUCUUCAAGUCUCUUAAGCCCCCGGUUUUCAAGUCCCUCAAACCCCCGGUUUUCAAGGACUUCAAUCUCCUCAAGCCCCCAGUGUUCAAGCCCCUCAAGCCUAUGGUGUUCCACCCACCUUUGUUCCAUUUGUUCCUAUUGUUGGUUAUGUUCCUCCGUUUCUUGAUCUGCUGGUUCUUAAUUUGAUUCUUCCUCCAAUCGCUCACCCUAAUCGUAUUCCUAAUCACGUUCUUAUACAACAGACCUCUGAAGACAGCUUUCACCAGUUUUCUCUUGCAUAUGCAAAUCGUAAUCCGGACACCCCGGAGGGAACCCGACUAGCGCCUAAGUACACCUCCGCAGAAGGCAUCCCGGAGGGCCGCCUUUUUCACCCCAUUUUAAUCGACGGAUAAGAGCUUCACCUUUAUCGUCAAGACCUCGCCUGCUCUGGGUUUGUUGCUUAAGGCUGCUGGUGAAUAUUCCUCUCUCCACCACAAUGUAUUAUAGUGACCAAUGAAUGUGGAUUUAUUUUACAAAAAACCAUCUUAAGGUGUUUGGUUUUGCAAAGCUGAAUAGCUUGAGUUUUGCUUUUACUCCUCGUUAAUUAUACAAGUGUUGUACAAGAACAAUUGGCAAGGAAAUCAUGUAUAUCAAAUAUGUUUUGUGAAAUUUUCUACACUAUCCCCUUUGUCUUACUAGUUUUGUUUGAUCAUUACUCGAGCUUCUACUCAAACGAUAGAAUAAAUUAGCAAGAAAUCCAUGUGCACCAUAUGUUUUAUGAUAGAGAUAAACUAUAUGAGGGUAUGAGGGGUGGCAUCUGCACUAUUUCUUUGUCUCUCUUCCUGCGUUGUUUGACAUUUGCUGAGUUGUGGAAACAGGUGUUGAGAAGGGAUCGAAAGAUCCAAAGCAAGAUAAAGUUGGGACGAUAACAAUCGUACAAUCGCAGCAGAGAAGCUUCCUGAUCUGAACUGCACGACCAUUGAAUCCGCUAUGAGAAUCAUUGCAGGAACUGCAGCUAACCUGGGGAUCGACAUAGACCCUCAAGUUCUUGAACC